rnacentral:sRNA from 1 species
GCUGGGCGUGGUGGUGCACGCCUGUGAUCCUAGCAGCUCUGGAAGCUGAGGCAGGAGGAUUAUGAGUUCAAAGUCAGCCUCAGCAACUUAGUGAGGACCUAAGCAACUCAGUGAGACCCUGUCUCUA